UAAUACAGAGGGCGCGAGCGUUGUCCGGAAUCACUGGGCGUAAAGGGCGCGUAGGUGGCGGCAUAAGGCCGCGGUGAAAGUCUGGGGCUCAACCCCAGAUCGGCCGCGGCGACUGUGUCGCUUGGGCACCGUAGAGGCAGAUGGAAUUCCCGGUGUAGCGGUGGAAUGCGUAGAGAUCGGGAAGAACACCAGUGGCGAAGGCGGUCUGCUGGGCGGUGGGACUCGCAAGAGUCCUUUUAGCCGACACUGAGGCGCGACAGCGUGGGGAGCAAACAGGAUUAGAUACCCUGGUAGUCCACGCCGUAAACGAUGGGCACUAGGUGCUCUGGGGAGCGACCCCCGGGGUACCGGCGCUAACGCAUGAAGUGCCCCGCCUGGGGAGUACGGCCGCAAGGCUG
rnacentral:rRNA from 1 species